rnacentral:rRNA from 1 species
UACGUAGGGUGCAAGCGUUAUCCGGAAUUAUUGGGCGUAAAGAGCUCGUAGGCGGUUCGUCGCGUCGGCUGUGAAAUCCCGAGGCUCAACCUCGGGUCUGCAGUCGAUACGGGCGGACUGGAGUUCGGCAGGGGAGACUGGAAUUCCUGGUGUAGCGGUGAAAUGCGCAGAUAUCAGGAGGAACACCGGUGGCGAAGGCGGGUCUCUGGGCCGAUGACUGACGCUGGAGGAGCGAAAGCGUGGGGAGCGA